rnacentral:rRNA from 1 species
CCUACGGGCGGCAGCAGUGGGGAAUAUUGCACAAUGGGCGCAAGCCUGAUGCAGCCAUGCCGCGUGUGUGAAGAAGGCCUUCGGGUUGUAAAGCACUUUCAGCGGGGAGGAAGGCGUUAAGGUUAAUAACCUUGGCGAUUGACGUUACCCGCAGAAGAAGCACCGGCUAACUCCGUGCCAGCAGCCGCGGUAAUACGGAGGGUGCAAGCGUUAAUCGGAAUUACUGGGCGUAAAGCGCACGCAGGCGGUCUGUCAAGUCGGAUGUGAAAUCCCCGGGCUCAACCUGGGAACUGCAUUCGAAACUGGCAGGCUAGAGUCUUGUAGAGGGGGGUAGAAUUCCAGGUGUAGCGGUGAAAUGCGUAGAGAUCUGGAGGAAUACCGGUGGCGAAGGCGACCCCCUGGACAAAGACUGACGCUCAGGUGCGAAAGCGUGGGGAGCAAACAGGAUUAGAUACCCCAGUAGUC